rnacentral:piRNA from 1 species
UUCUAAGCCACACAAAGAAACCUUGAUAGA